AUUGAACGCUGGCGGCAGGCUUAACACAUGCAAGUCGAGCGGGCGAGGUUGCUUCGGUAACUGAGCUAGCGGCGGACGGGUGAGUAAUGCUUAGGAAUCUGCCUAUUAGUGGGGGACAACAUUCCGAAAGGAAUGCUAAUACCGCAUACGCCCUACGGGGGAAAGCAGGGGAUCUUCGGACCUUGCGCUAAUAGAUGAGCCUAAGUCAGAUUAGCUAGGUGGUGGGGUAAAGGCCUACCAAGGCGACGAUCUGUAGCGGGUCUGAGAGGAUGAUCCGCCACACUGGGACUGAGACACGGCCCAGACUCCUACGGGAGGCAGCAGUGGGGAAUAUUGGACAAUGGGCGCAAGCCUGAUCCAGCCAUGCCGCGUGUGUGAAGAAGGCCUUAGGGUUGUAAAGCACUUUCAGCGAGGAGGAAAAGUGGCUAGCUAAUACCUAGUUGCUGUGACGUUACUCGCAGAAGAAGCACCGGCUAACUCCGUGCCAGCCGCCGCUGUAACAC
rnacentral:rRNA from 1 species